ensembl:lncRNA
GCCCUUUGAAAUGGGAAACCGCCACAAAAGUAUCAGAUACGAUUAGCAAAGCCACGCCACGUGACCAUUCGGUUGGUAUCCUUCACAAAAUUUUCCCUGAUUUGAAAAAUACAUGCUCCACUAGUUCCUGUAGGGCCGGCCACAUGGUCAUCAACUUGUGUCUUGUUGCCCUCUCGCUCUUCAAUCACGUUGGAUAAGUGCUGAACACUGAACCUGGUUAAAUUUAUGAUAUUUAUUUGUGUGAAUUUAAAAGCAUAGGAACAUGCCAGCUUAGAUUGCAUUAUGGUUGAAAUAUGACAGAAUAAGAGCUUCCGGUCCUUUGAUUAAUAAAUGUCUUCGGUGACACUAAUGUAUUUAAAAAUUUUUUUUGCCGCUUUGGAAAGAGAGCAAGAUUGAGAGAAGGAGUUUAUGCCACAGACAUCCAGCACGGCUGUGUAUGGUGAUUAAUUUUAAGUGGCUUGUAUUGAUGGAUCAAAGGAACACCCUAAACACAGCAGAUAAGAUCCCAGUCACAGGCUGAAACUGGAGGGGGCAGAAACUAGCCCGGCAAACCAGAGAUAAAGAAUAGAGAAAAAGACUACAGCAAAGGGCAUGGAUUCCAGAACUCCUCAGGACUUUUGACUGCUGUUCCCUUGCCUUUCGCGGGGGAAAUACUCUCUGUUCUCAGUUUCAAAAUAUACACCUGUGGAACAAAUGUAUAAACUAGCUACCCUAAAUGAGGACCUAAAUGAGUCCUAGAAUGAAAUAUAACAACAAUAAUAAUAAUUUGCAAUUUACUGACUGCCUACUAUGUGCUGGGCACUCAAUUCAUUAUCUCAUGUAACGUUCAUACCGUUUCUCUAGAGCAGGUAUAGUCACCAUCCUCAUGCAUUCUGUCUAUUGCUGUUUAACAAACCACCCCAAAACUCAGCGGCUUAAACCAAUAAUUUCUUAUUAUCCCUCUGGGUUCUGUGGGUUAACUGGGUUCAGCUGACCACUUCUCUUUCAAGGAUUUCAUGCAGUUGCUGUAAGAAGUGGCUGGGGCUGGAGACAUCUGAUGACUCGGUUGUGCUGGACAUCCAUCAUGGCUUCUUCCCUUUGUCUGUCUCCUUAGCUGGGAUAGCUGGAACAUCUGGAGGCUGGCUGGGCAUCUCGUCUUCUCUCUCCACGUCUUCUCCACAGGCCAGUUUGGGCCUCCUCAAAACAUGGCAAUCUCAGGGGCUGGCCUGGUGGUGCAGCAGUUUAGUUCGCAUGUUCUGUUUAGGUGGCCUGGGGUUCGCCGGUUCGGGUCCUGGGUGCAGACCUAUAUACCAUUUGUCAAGCCAUGCUGUGGCAGGUGUCCCACGUAUAAAGUAAAGGAAGAUGAGCACGGUUGUUAGCUCAGGGCCAGUCUUCCUCAGUGAAAAGAGGAGGAUUUGUGGCAGAUGUUAGCUCAGGACUAAUCUUCCUCAAACAAAACAAAACAAAACAAAACAAAACAUAGCAAUCUCAGAGUAGUCAGAUUUCUCCUAAGGAGCUUUCUUUUCCUAGAUCGAGUGCUCCAAGAGAAUGAGGUGGAAGCUGCAAGGUUUCUUAUGGUCUAGCCUCAGAGUCACUUUCAUUGGUCAAAAGUGAGUCACGAGACCAAUCCAGAUUCAAAGCGAGAGGCUUAUACAAAGCUGUAGAUACUAAGUGGUGUAACUCAUUGAGAAACUAUCUUUGGAGACUAGCAAAUAUAUAUAUUUGUAACAAAUGAAAAUAUAAAUAUUUGUAACAACUCAUGUCAUAAAUGAGAGAAUUAAGGUUAAGUUACUUGUCUGCGGUCAAACACCUUGGAGGUAGGUAGUCAAGAUGGAGUUCAAAUCCAACAUGUUAUGAUUCUACUAUGCUACACUCUAUCCACUAAAUAAAAUGAUCUAUGGAAAAAUGAAUUAAUUUACUAAAACCAUAUCUAUUAAGGCACUGCACAAAAAGACAUAAACACACUGCUGGCCUGGUGGCGUAGUGGUUGAGUUUGCACACUCCGCUUCGGUGGCCCAGGGUUCACCAGUUUGGAUCCCAGGCACAGACCUAUACACUGUUUAUCAAGCCGUGCUGGGAUAGGCAUCCCACAUACAAAGUAGAGGAAGGUGGGUACGGAUGUCAGCUCAGGGCCAAUCUUCCUCAAAAAAAAAAAAAAAAGAAAGAAAAAGACAUAAACUUAUCAUCUCCAUCCUCUAAAAGCUCUAGAGGGCUGCAGUUUAGUCUGAAAACAACACUGGGUUUAGAAUUAGAAGCUCAGAGUUUGAAUCCUGACUCUGCAACUCUGAGCAACUCAUUUAAUGCCCUUGAAAUUCAGUUUCCUCAAAGAUCAUGGGGCUAACAAUGCCUUCCCUUUAGCGUUGGUGUAACAAUAAAAUAAAAUGAUAUAUGAGCAUGAUUUUGCUAGUGAGGGAGUUUUACAUAAACAGUAGGAUUUAAUUUAGAAGAAAAGUUUAUAUAGCAAUGUAAAAGAGGAGAGUGCCUCUUCCUGAGAUGUGGGCAUGUUGAGGCUUGACAGAUGUCAGCCAGGAAUGUCCUGGAAGUGAUCCCUGCUAUUGCUCCAACAUUCUCAAGACGCCCUGGGAAGCUCUUUCCAUUCCUCUCCUCUCUAUAGGUUUCCCUGGGAAAGUCAAACAAUCCUUGACCACAGGAGGAACUCCUUUCCUUCACGUGAUGGCAGACCACCAUUUUGUCAGGGAAUAAACGGGGCACCCGGGUCCUAAAGAGCAAGAACUUAGAGGAAAUCCACCCCUUAAUUUUAUUUCUUUUUUUUUCAACUUGGCUUCUAAAUGCUUGAUGUAGGUAGAUCAGUUGGGGAUGAAAUACUACAGAAGUUCAGAGAGAGCCACAGCUGAACCUGAGUUUGAACUUGAGUGUGACUGUCUGAUGCGCCAGGAUCAAGAGAUUCCAGCCUCACAGACCCGCAGGAGGUGAUGGGUGGGGAUGGAGGAGAGCAGCUCAAGUCGGAUUCUGAGCGGGGCCCAUCCACCAGUCUGAGCUCUGGGGAGAGAGCACAGCAGCCUCAGAAAUAUUAAACAAGAAGAUUGGAACUCCUUUUUUAAAAAAUAUAGAGACUCGCUCCAUGAUCCAGGAUUCACAAAGGGCUACAAAAUUAGACAGUAGAUGGCCUUCGGCUCUGGGACCAUCAAUCUCCCAUUAUAACUGAUAUGUCUUCACUCCUUCU